UACGAAGGGGGCUAGCGUUGUUCGGAUUCACUGGGCGUAAAGGGUGCGUAGGUGGCCGUGGAAGUUUGGUGUGAAAGCUCGGAGCUCAACUCCGAAAUGGCAUUGAAUACUCUACGGCUGGAGGGUCGGAGGGGAGACUGGAAUUCUCGGUGUAGCAGUGAAAUGCGUAGAUAUCGAGAGGAACACCAGUGGCGAAGGCGAGUCUCUGGACGACGA
rnacentral:rRNA from 1 species